GCGGGUCCUGCGCUGCGUCAGGGUGCCGAGGCGGGGUUUCUCGCCUCCGGUCACAAUGGGACCUCUGUACCGCGCUGGGCUUGUUGGCCUGCGAUUAGCACACACCCAUCCCUGGGAACUGCUAGUCUGGAAAGCGGGGCUGCUUCUCCGGGAUGAGCCCGAGCCCUGCCAAGCCCCUCAAGGCAUUGAAGCUUUAGCUCACCUUAUCCGAAUGGUCAUUGGGCAUCUGGACUUGAGUUAACGACUGAAUUUUUCUGGGAAGCAAGGGACACGUUCUAAAAUAACCCCAGGAUCACUCUCCGAACUUGGCCUGAGUCUAGGCAAGCAGUGUUACUCGGUCGCCUUGAUCUUGGAGCUGCUGUGUACUGGGGACCUCAUACUAGUUGGGUUAACUAUAUUCCCAUUAGCAGUACGCGGGAUCGCAGUACUCGGGACAAGCUGAGUUCAGGUAUUUGGGUAAGACAACUGCAACACUUCAGAGGUUAUUUGUGGAGUAAGAUGUUCGACCAUACAGUGAAUAAUUCGAAGCUAGGGAGAACAGAUUAGAGUCUGGUAUGAAGAAGAAAGGGAAGGAAAGGAAUAGUUUUGAAGCUCAGCGCUAGAACGACUCGAUGUCCAUGCCAGGGUACCCCGAGUGGGCCUUGAAAUCUUGCGUCUCAGUGCCUUACAGGGAAUGGUAGAAACUGGAAAAUCUACAAGUAAAGUAUUGGGACCUCCUAAUUUUCCUUUUAGAUGGAGGAAAACGGGCUGGGAUUCCCUGCAGCACUUAGCACACGCUGCUAUGAGUAACACGAUCUGGAAAGACAGCGCUAGCAAGGAAUGAGGAGUGAUACAGUGACUGGAGGCUAAGAGAUAAUGUCUGCAAGUCACCUAAAACCAUUGCAGACACAGGGAGAUUGAUGGAUUUGGAGGACUUCUGGUUGUGAAGACUCUGACGAUUGCUAAAGAGGUACAAAUGAACAUCCAGAUAAAGAGGUCCUGAACUUCUGCCAAUACUGUAGGUAUCUUUAGCUAUCUACGGCCUUCCCCACCGCAUCCUGUGUCUGUAAAGACUCCAGACUCAGCUGGCAGAGGAGAGAAGUGGCUGGAUGUUGGGAAGAAGCAAGUUGACCUCAGAGAAAGCAGCUGGAUGUCAGAAAGAGGCAAUUUGACUUCCGAAGAGAGAGACAGAGAGGUGACUUAACCUCAGGGGAGAGCAACCUGCCCUUGAGACAGAGAGGUGACUUAACCUCAGGGGAGAGCAACCUGCCCUUCCCAUCCCCUUUCCAGCUCCCCUCUCCGCUGAGAGUUGCUUUCAUCACUGAAUAAAAUUCUCCACAUUCACCAUGCUUCAGUUCGUCUGUAUGACCUCAUUCCUUUUGAGCACCAGAAAAGAAUUCGGGAUGCACUAAGCACAGGUACCCAAAAAAAGCUGUCAUACUGGCCCUUUGCCCUCACUGGUGGAGGGAAGCUGCCCCAUGUGACACUGCUGUUUGCAGACAGCAG
rnacentral:lncRNA from 1 species